AACGAACGCUGGCGGCAUGCCUAACACAUGCAAGUCGAACGAGACCUUCGGGUCUAGUGGCGCACGGGUGCGUAACGCGUGGGAACCUGCACUUAGGUUCGGAAUAACUCCCCGAAAGGGGUGCUAAUACCGGAUAAUGUCUUCGGACCAAAGAUUUAUCGCCUUUGGAUGGGCCCGCGUUGGAUUAGCUAGUUGGUAGGGUAAAAGCCUACCAAGGCGACGAUCCAUAGCUGGUCUGAGAGGAUGAUCAGCCACACUGGGACUGAGACACGGCCCAGACUCCUACGGGAGGCAGCAGUGGGGAAUAUUGGACAAUGGGCGGAAUCCUGAUCCAGCAAGGCCGCGUGAGUGAUGAAGGCCUUAGGGUUGUAAAGCUCUUUUACCCGGGAUGAUAAUGACAGUACCGGGAGAAUAAGCUCCGGCUAACUCCGUG
rnacentral:rRNA from 1 species